GACGAACGCUGGCGGCGUGCUUAACACAUGCAAGUCGAACGGAAAGGCCCUGCUUUUGUGGGGUGCUCGAGUGGCGAACGGGUGAGUAACACGUGAGUAACCUGCCCUUGACUUUGGGAUAACUUCAGGAAACUGGGGCUAAUACCGGAUAGGAGCUCCUGCUGCAUGGUGGGGGUUGGAAAGAUUCGGCGGUUGGGGAUGGAAUCGCGGCUUAUCAGCUUGUUGGUGGGGUAGUGGCUUACGAAGGCUUUGACGGGUAGCCGGCCUGAGAGGGUGACCGGCGACAUGGGGACUGAGAUACGGCCCAGACUGGUACGGGAGGCAGCAGUGGAGAAUAUGGCACAAUGGGCGGAAGCCUGAUGCAGCAGCGCCGGGUGCGGGAUGACGGCUUUCGGGUUGUAAACCGCUUUCGCCGGUGACGAAGAGGGAGUGACGGUAAUGGGUAAAGAAGCACCGGCUAACUACGUG
rnacentral:rRNA from 1 species